rnacentral:rRNA from 1 species
GUAGUCUCGCACAGAUGCAUAUCAAUAAGCGGAGGAAAAGAAACUAACAAGGAUUCCCCUAGUAACGGCGAGUGAAGCGGGAAGAGCUCAAAUUUGAAAUCUUAAAGGGUUUCCCUUUACGAAUUGUAGUUUAAAGAAGUGUUUUCUGUUGAGGUUUUGGUAAAAGUUCUUUGGAAUAGGACAUCAUAGAGGGUGAGAAUCCCGUAUUUGACCUUUACUUUCAACUUUGUGAUACACUUUCAGAGAGUCGCAUUGUUUGGGAAUGCAGUCCAAAAUGGGUGGUAAAUUUCAUCUAAAGCUAAAUAUUGGCGAGAGACCGAUAGCGAACAAGUACCGUGAGGGAAAGAUGAAAAGAACUUUGAAAAGAGAGUUAAACAGUACGUGAAAUUGUCAAAAGGGAAGCGCUUGACACCAGUGUUGUUUUUUCUGAAAAUCAAUUAAAGAACUGUUUAUGCUAAGCUGUUUAGACUUUAUCAGCUAACUGUUUAGUUUUGAGCUUUUCUUUAAUGCACUUUUCAGUUAACAAGUCAACAUCAAUUUCUUUUGCUGUAAAAAAGCUUGAGGAAGGUGGCUUGAGAUUCGUCUUAAGUGUUUAUAGCCUCUUGCCUAUGCAGUCGGAGAGAUUGAGGUCUGCAGCGUAGAUCCUUCGGGGCUAAAUGCAUUUGUGCUAAGUUAUAGCAUUUUAUAGACAACUUGUUGACUAUGAUUUGUCUUGUAGCUUACUCGCUUAUGUUAUUUUACCUACGCUUAGGAUGUUGAACUACUGAGACAUAGA